rnacentral:rRNA from 1 species
CAAUAGCGUAUAUUAAAGUUGUUGCAGUUAAAAAGCUCGUAGUUGGACUUCUGCGGGUGGCGGCCGGUCGUGCCCUUAUGUGGCGUGAACUUGGCUCUUUGCCGCCCGCAUCUUUGGGGAGAUUGUGCGUGGCAUUAGGUUGUCGUGCAUGGGAUUCUCAUCAUUUACUGUGAAAAAAUUAGAGUGUUUAAAGCAGGCCUUUGCCUUGAAUACAUUAGCAUGGAAUAAUAAGAUAGGACCGUUGUCUAUUUUGUUGGUUUACAGAUGUCGGUAAUGAUUAAUAGGGAUAGUUGGGGGUAUUCGUAUUCAGUUGUCAGAGGUGAAAUUCUUGGAUUUUCGGAAGACGCACGACUGCGAAAGCAUUUACCAAGGAUGUUUUCAUUAA